rnacentral:rRNA from 1 species
AACGAACGCUGGCGGCAGGCUUAACACAUGCAAGUCGAACGCACCUUUCGGGGUGAGUGGCAGACGGGUGAGUAACGCGUGGGAAUCUACCCUUCUCUACGGGUUAGCUCCGGGAAACUGGAAUUAAUACCGUAUACGUCCUGAGGGAGAAAGAUUUAUCGGGGAAGGAUGAGCCCGCGUUGGAUUAGCUAGUUGGUGGGGUAAAGGCCUACCAAGGCGACGAUCCAUAGCUGGUCUAAGAGGAUGAUCAGCCACAUUGGGACUGAGACACGGCCCAAACUCCUACGGGAGGCAGCAGUGGGGAAUAUUGGACAAUGGGCGCAAGCCUGAUCCAGCCAUGCCGCGUGAGUGAUGAAGGCCCUAGGGUUGUAAAGCUCUUUCAGUGGGGACGAUAAUGACGGUACCCACAGAAGAAGCCCCGGCUAACUUCGUG